UCUCAAUCUCAUGCCUUUUAGUUUCGUUCCCUUGCUGUCGUUGUUGUUUUUUUUUUUCUUUUAUUCUUUUGCUUCUGCCUAUCUCGCUGUGAAUUGGAGAUUUGACCCCUGUUGGGAUAACACUCCCCGCCUCUGAUCCCGCUUAAUUUUAUGGGGAUUUUCUUUCGAACUUUGCAUUUCU